GGGGAAGUAUUUGCCGCGCUCAGUCUCUCUCGAUGCUCACGGUGAUCUUUCCUUUGCCAUUUCCCCCAAAACACUCCUUAACCCAAGGCCAUUAGGAAUUCACUACAGUUGUAAUCAUGAGACCUAGCUAGCUAGAGACUCAUGCCUGAGUUAACGAUGAACUUAUUGAAGAAGAACAUGGAAACAUUCGGAGACGACCUCGAUCGGUAUUGUUGUCGACAUCUGUGCAGAGGGUGAGAUUGCCGUGUGUCGCGGAUAGAACAUUCCCCCAAACAAACUGACCUUGUUCAAACAAACAAUCCCACAAAAGCAAAAAAUGUCAUUCAUGAAGGGUAAUUAAUAUCUCUAGCUAGCUAAUCACUUUGGAGAAAUUUCCUUUUGGUUUCUACUUUCUAGCCCCACUAGUUUCAAUUUAUGAGGUUCUUCUGCACCUCUAGACACAAGAUAAACGAUGAUCCUUGCGGUUUCUAGCUUGCCCCCACAACAUUCAAUAAGGAAGAUGAGCAGUUGUUAUCCUACACCUACAACCCAGGGCAGGGCAGGGGAGGGGAACUUUCCUUCCAACAAGAUGGGCAACGUUUGAGGGACAAUUCAAUAAACUUUGGUUACAAGGGGAACAGUAACACACU